UGGGGAAUAUUGGACAAUGGGCGCAAGCCUGAUCCAGCCAUGCCGCGUGAGUGAUGAAGGCCUUCGGGUUGUAAAGCUCUUUCGCCAGGGACGAUAAUGACGGUACCUGGAUAAGAAGCCCCGGCUAACUUCGUGCCAGCAGCCGCGGUAAUACGAAGGGGGCUAGCGUUGUUCGGAAUCACUGGGCGUAAAGCGCACGUAGGCGGAUGUUUAAGUCAGAGGUGAAAUCCCGGAGCUCAACUUCGGAACUGCCUUUGAUACUGGACGUCUUGAGUCCGAGAGAGGUGAGUGGAACUCCUAGUGUAGAGGUGAAAUUCGUAGAUAUUAGGAAGAACACCAGUGGCGAAGGCGGCUCACUGGCUCGGUACUGACGCUGAGGUGCGAAAGCGUGGGGAGCAAA
rnacentral:rRNA from 1 species